AAACGAGUAAGGUCAGCUUAUCAGGUCCCUAAGUACUACCUGGUUAAUGCGACCUUGGCUUCCCUGGGACCGGACUCUUUUCCCCACUCCUCCAUAGCCCUGUGCGUGCCUCUUACCCUAGAGCCUCAACCACGGUCGUCUUCCCUGCUGCUUCCUUUCUUCCCGACCACAGGGCCAGUUAACUCGGAACUCUUCCUGCGCCACGUUCCUGGAUGGCUCCGCCCACUUUUGCGCCCCCUGGCUUGGCUGGCGCUCCGGGCACCGCGAGGGGGUGCCCAGACACCCCUGUACUGCGCUCUGCAGGAAGGCAUUGAGCCCCUCAGCGGGAGGUACUUCGCCAACUGCCGUGUGGAGGAGGUGCCCCCAGCCGCCAGAGACGACCGCGCAGCUCACCGGCUGUGGGAGGCCAGCAGGAAGCUAGCAGGGCUUGGGCCUGGGGAGGAUGCCGAAUCGGAUGAAGAUUCCCAGUCUGAGGACCCGGGGACUCCAUCCUCUCCAAGCAGCCCCCACCCCGAGGAGCCCACGGCUUCCGAACUCUACCCCAGCCCUCAGAAUUCAACAGACAGGUCUACGGUCAAGCGCCGGAUUCCGGUUAAAGCUGAACUUGAGCCUCAGGCUUGCUAACUGCCCCCCUACCCCAAGACGCCGCCCCCCACACACACACACACAGACCGGGCAGCUUUCCAGGGCACCUGGUGGGCCUUUAAAACCUUAGCGGUGUGCUGGGCCACGCACUGGGCAUGGAGAGAGUUCCAUUUUCGCCUCCAUGGUUACUUUCCGGGGUUUCCGAGGUAUGUCCUGGACAGCUCGUUUCCUGGCGGAAGGAAAUAAAGGGUGAUUAUUCCUCCCUGAGAGGAACGGUAACCCCAGAUUGA